GAGGACCCCGAGCUGUGACAGGGACCCUGUAUUCACGCACAGUCAUCAGUCCGAUCUCUGCCUCCCCUUACCUCGGGGCCACCUGCCGUGCGCCACAGAGCUGCUCGGGCUGAGAACCUCAGUCUCCCCAGCUGUCCCAGCAGCAGACAGUUCCCUCGGAGCACGCGGCUGUGCAGAUCUUGAAAUCCAUCAGAGCUACAAACAUUUCAUGUCCAGCGCACCCCAGCUCUAACUUAGUCUAAAUCUUCUCUGUAGAUUAUUACCCAACCUCCAAACAACAGAAAUAGACACUGGCCACUUACAGAAGAAAAUAAAUGUUCUAAAACUGUCCAAAGACCUAGAGAACUAGACUGAGGGAAGGUGACGCACGAGGGCCACAAUUAGGGCUGAAGUCACACGGUGGAGCCAGGCCUCGAGGUGAGUGCUCUCACCAUUGGACACCGGGCGCUCUAUUCUGCUGUGGAUACUACACCGGUGGGGUGCUGCCACUGCCUCUGCCCUGGAGAAUGGAUGCUAGCCCCUCUGCCUUUGGCGCUGCUGUUUCCCAGAAGCAUGGCCUUGUUGAGAUGAAAGGAAACACAUUUGGUAGAAUGAACAACUGGGCACAGAAAACAUAAACAUUGAUCUCAAGGUACAGACUCUGUGGGUCUUAAAUUCCAUUUCCAAUGACUUCUGAGACCCACACUGCCUAGCAAAAUAUAAGCAAGCAAACAGCAAAACAGCAGGACGUACAUGUGAAGGACAAAGAGGCUCCACAGGAACUCUGUUUUUGCUCUGAAAAGAAUUCAAAUUUUAUCAAAAUGCCUAUCAUCAGUAUCAUGUCUGUGCACUAUAGCUGUGUUUGCUCUUUUGUGGGGCGUGUCCCUCACUGGGGGGCUGUGCACACAGAGAAGAUGCUACCGCAGAGAGCCAAGGAAGAAACAUACAGGUCCCCAAACCACAAGGGGACGUCUGCAAACUCAGUCAGACCACUGGCCUGGUAGCUCAGAGCGGCCCUCUAGAGAAUCUUCCAAAUAAAUAGCUACUCAGAAGUCCAUGAAGGUGGGUUCAGGAGAAAGAUAUUAAUCACUCCCAAACAUUGCAGAAAAUUGUCAAUAAAUAUAUGAGUAAAGCUUG